rnacentral:rRNA from 1 species
AGCGAACGCUGGCGGCGUGCCUAAUACAUGCAAGUCGAGCGAAUGACGAGGAGCUUGCUCCUCUGAUUUAGCGGCGGACGGGUGAGUAACACGUGGGUAACCUGCCUGUAAGACGGGGAUAACUCCGGGAAACCGGAGCUAAUACCGGAUGAUAACGAGAAGCGCCUGCUUCUUUUUUGAAAGUCGGUUUCGGCUGACGCUUACAGAUGGGCCCGCGGCGCAUUAGCUAGUUGGUGAGGUAACGGCUCACCAAGGCGACGAUGCGUAGCCGACCUGAGAGGGUGAUCGGCCACACGGGGACUGAGACACGGCCCAGACUCCUACGGGAGGCAGCAGUAGGGAAUCUUCGGCAAUGGACGAAAGUCUGACCGAGCAACGCCGCGUGAGCGAUGAAGGCCUUCGGGUCGUAAAGCUCUGUUGUCAGAGAAGAACAAGUACCGGAGUAACUGCCGGUACCUUGACGGUACCUGACCAGAAAGCCACGGCUAACUACGUGCCAGCCGCCGCGGUAACAC